rnacentral:rRNA from 1 species
CCUACGGGAGGCAGCAGUGGGGAAUAUUGCACAAUGGGGGAAACCCUGAUGCAGCAACGCCGCGUGAGUGAAGAAGUAUUUCGGUAUGUAAAGCUCUAUCAGCAGGGAAGAAAAUGACAGUACCUGACUAAGAAGCCCCGGCUAACUACGUGCCAGCAGCCGCGGGAAUACGUAGGGGGCAAGCGUUAUCCGGAUUUACUGGGUGUAAAGGGAGCGUAGACGGCUGCGCAAGUCAGGAGUGAAAGCCCGGGGCUCAACCGCGGGACUGCUUUGGAAACUGUGUAGCUAGAGUGCAGGAGAGGUAAGUGGAAUUCCAAGUGUAGCGGUGAAAUGCGUAGAUAUUAGGAGGAACACCAGUGGCGAAGGCGGCUUACUGGACUGUAACUGACGUUGAGGCACGAAAGCGUGGGGAGCAAACAGGAUUAGAUACCCCGGUAGUC